rnacentral:rRNA from 1 species
UACAGAGGUCCCAAGCGUUGUUCGGAUUCACUGGGCGUAAAGGGUGCGUAGGUGGCGGGGUAAGUCGGAUGUGAAAGCUCGGAGCUCAACUCCGAAAUGGCAUUGGAAACUACCUUGCUCGAGGGUUGGAGGGGGGACUGGAAUUCUCGGUGUAGCAGUGAAAUGCGUAGAUAUCGAGAGGAACACCAGUGGCGAAGGCGGGUCUCUGGACAGUUCCUGACGCUGAGGCACGAAGGUCAGGGGAGCAAACGGG